rnacentral:rRNA from 1 species
UACGAAGGGGGCUAGCGUUGCUCGGAAUCACUGGGCGUAAAGGGCACGUAGGCGGUUUGUUAAGUCAGGGGUGAAAUCCUGGAGCUCAACUCCAGAACUGCCUUUGAUACUGGCGAUCUUGAGUCCGCGAGAGGUGAGUGGAACUGCGAGUGUAGAGGUGAAAUUCGUAGAUAUUCGCAAGAACACCAGUGGCGAAGGCGGCUCACUGGCCCGGUACUGACGCUGAGGUGCGAAAGCGUGGGGAGCAAACAGA